GAUGAACGCUAGCGGGAGGCCUAACACAUGCAAGCCGAGCGGUAUUGUUUCUUCGGAAUUGAGAGAGCGGCGUACGGGUGCGUAACACGUGUGCAACCUGCCUUUAUCUGGGGGAUAGCCUUUCGAAAGGAAGAUUAAUACUCCAUAAUAUAUUGAACGGCAUCGUUUAAUAUUGAAAGAUCGGGCGGAUAGAGAUGGGCCCGCGCGAGAUUAGCUAGUUGGUGAGGUACCGGCUCACCAAGGCGAUGAUCUUUAGGGGGCCUGAGAGGGUGAGCCCCCAGACUGGUACUGCGACACGGACCAGUCUGCUACGGGACGCAGCAGUACGGGAGAUAGGGCAAUGGGUGCAAGCCUGAACCAGCCAUCCCGCGUGAAGGACGACUGCCCUAGGGAUUGUAACCUUCUUUUGUAUAAGGACAAACCUACCCUCCGGAGCGUAGCUGAAGGUACUAUACGAAUAAGCACCGGCUAACUACGUG
rnacentral:rRNA from 1 species